rnacentral:rRNA from 1 species
UACGUAGGGGGCAAGCGUUGUCCGGAUUUAUUGGGCGUAAAGAGCGUGUAGGCGGCCAGGUAGGUCCGCUGUGAAAACCCGAGGCUCAACCUCGGGACGUCGGCGGAAACCAUCUGGCUAGAGUUCGGGAGAGGAGAGUGGAAUUCCCGGUGUAGCGGUGAAAUGCGCAGAUAUCGGGAAGAACACCCGUGGCGAAGGCGGCUCCCUGGGCCGAUUCCUGACGCUGAGACGCGAAAGCGUGGGGAGCAAACAGG